AAUCAGAACAGAAGGGUGAAGGGCAGGAGCCUUUGACUUGCCCAGUGCACUUAAUUGCCUUGUUCUCCUCUCUUCCAGGCCAGGACCAAGCCCUGAAUGCAGCCCAGCUCUGCCAAGUGCCCUGGGCUGUGAGCAGCCCAAGGCAAGAGGCUGCAGCCCCGCCGGCCGGCGCUGGGGGCUCCUGGUGCUGCCCGUGGGCUGGGAUGCUGGAAUUGCCUCUCUGGGUGUGUGCUGAGCUCUGGCUGCAGGGGACUGUCAGGCCUUGGUGGCUAUGUUCUCUUUCUGCUAUUGAAUGUACAGCCUCCUUGCAGCUCCCAGCUGAGGAAACCUGGGAUAACUUAGGAGGGACAGAGGUGACAUUUUUAUCUGCAAACUUGGGGUAAUUUCUAGGGGAUACAGCAACUGUUUGUGUAGGAAAGUGUGUUUAACCACAUUGGCCCCAGUUGUGUUUGCACCAGCUGGGGCCAGAGGUGCAAGGCAAUCCAAAGCAAACCCUGCUCAGCCUCUAAAUCCCAGGGGAAGUUCUCCAAGCUGCUCACUGAGGGACUAAAGA